GGUGCUAAUACCGCAUAACCAUAGUUACCGCAUGGUAACUAUGUAAAAGGUGGCUAUGCUACCGCUUUUGGAUGGGCCCGCGACGCAUUAGCUAGUUGGUGGGGUAAAGGCUUACCAAGGCAAUGAUGCGUAGCCGAACUGAGAGGUUGAUCGGCCACAUUGGGACUGAGACACGGCCCAAACUCCUACGGGAGGCAGCAGUAGGGAAUCUUCCACAAUGGGCGAAAGCCUGAUGGAGCAACGCCGCGUGGGUGAAGAAGGUCUUCGGAUCGUAAAACCCUGUUGUUAGAGAAGAAAGUGCGUGAGAGUAACUGUUCACGUUUCGACGGUAUCUAACCAGAAAGCCACGGCUAACUACGUGCCAGCAGCCGCGGUAAUACGUAGGUGGCAAGCGUUAUCCGGAUUUAUUGGGCGUAAAGAGAACGCAGGCGGUCUUUUAAGUCUGAUGUGAAAGCCUUCGGCUUAACCGGAGUAGUGCAUUGGAAACUGGGAGGCUUGAGUGCAGAAGAGGAGAGUGGAACUCCAUGUGUAGCGGUGAAAUGCGUAGAUAUAUGGAAGAACACCAGUGGCGAAAGCGGCUCUCUGGUCUGUAACUGACGCUGAGGUUCGAAAGCGUGGGUAGCAAACAGGAUUAGAUACCCUGGUAGUCCACGCCGUAAACGA
rnacentral:rRNA from 1 species